GUAGGGAAUAUUGGACAAUGGGGGGAACCCUGAUCCAGCCAUGCCGCGUGGAGGAAGACUGCCCUCUGGGUUGUAAACUCCUUUUAUAUGGGAAGAACCGUCCUCAUUAAUGAGUGACCUGACGGUACCAUAGGAAUAAGCACCGGCUAACUCCGUGCCAGCAGCCGCGGUAAUACGGAGGGUGCAAGCGUUAUCCGGAUUCACUGGGUUUAAAGGGUGCGUAGGCGGAUAAAUAAGUCAGUGGUGAAAUCAACGGGCUCAACCUGUUAACUGCCAUUGUUACUGUGUAUCUUGAAUAUGAGAUGGGUAGGCGGAAUGUUGCAUGUAGCGGUGAAAUGCUUAGAUAUGCUACGGAACACCGAUUGCGAAGGCAGCUUACUAUUUCGUAAUUGACGCUGAGGCACGAAAGCGUGGGUAGCGAACAGGAUUAGAAACCCCGGUAGUCC
rnacentral:rRNA from 1 species